GCAGCCGCGGUAAUACGUAGGGAGCAAGCGUUGUCCGGAAUCACUGGGCGUAAAGGGUGCGUAGGCGGUUAAUUAAGUCAGAUGUGAAAUCCCCGGGCUUAACCUGGGGGCUGCAUCUGAUACUGGUUGACUUGAGUGCAGGAGAGGAAAGCGGAAUUCCUAGUGUAGCGGUGAAAUGCAUAGAUAUUAGGAGGAACACCAGUGGCGAAGGCGGCUUUCUGGACUGCAACUGACGCUGAGGCACGAAAGCGUGGGGAGCAAACAGGAUUAGAUACCCC
rnacentral:rRNA from 1 species